UACGUAGGGUGCGAGCGUUAAUCGGAAUUACUGGGCGUAAAGCGUGCGCAGGCGGCGACAUAAGACAGAUGUGAAAUCCCCGGGCUCAACCUGGGAACUGCGUUUGUGACUGUGUUGCUAGAGUGUAGCAGAGGGGGGUGGAAUUCCACGUGUAGCAGUGAAAUGCGUAGAUAUGUGGAGGAACACCGAUGGCGAAGGCAAUCCCCUGGACCUGUACUGACGCUCAUGCACGAAAGCGUGGGGAGCAAACAGGAUUAGAUACCCGGGUAGUCC
rnacentral:rRNA from 1 species